CGCGAACGCUGGCGGCAGGCUUAACACAUGCAAGUCGAGCGCCCCGCAAGGGGAGCGGCUGACGGGUGAGUAACGCGUGGGAAUCUACCCAUCUCUACGGAAUAGCGCAUGGAAACGUGUGCUAAUACCGUAUACCUCCUUCGGGAGAAAGAUUGUAUCGGAGAUGGAUGAGCCCGCGUUGGAUUAGCUAGUUGGUGGGGUAAAGGCCUACCAAGGCGACGAUCCAUAGCUGGUCUGAGAGGAUGAUCAGCCACACUGGGUCUGAGACACGGCCCAGACUCCUACGGGAGGCAGCAGUGGGGAAUAUUGGACAAUGGGCGCAAGCCUGAUCCAGCCAUGCCGCGUGAGUGAUGAAGGCCCUAGGGUUGUAAAGCUCUUUCACCGGUGAAGAUAAUGACGGUAACCGGAGAAGAAGCCCCGGCUAACUUCGUGCCAGCCGCCGCAGUAACAC
rnacentral:rRNA from 1 species